UGGCAGGAACAGGAUUUCCCUUAACUGGAC
rnacentral:piRNA from 2 species